CCUACGGGUGGCUGCAGUCGAGAAUCAUUCACAAUGGGGGAAACCCUGAUGGUGCGACGCCGCGUGGGGGAAUGAAGGUCUUCGGAUUGUAAACCCCUGUCAUGUGGGAGCAAAUUAAAAAGAUAGUACCACAAGAGGAAUAGACGGCUAACUCUGUGCCAGCAGCCGCGGGAAUACAGAGGUCUCAAGCGUUGUUCGGAAUCACUGGGCGUUAAGCGUGCGUAGGCUGUUUCGUAAGUCGUGUGUGAAAGGCGCGGACUCAACCCGCGGACGGCACAUGAUACUGCGAGACUAGAGUAAUGGAGGGGGAACCGGAAUUCUCGGUGUAGGAGUGAAAUGCGUAGAUAUCGAGAGGAACACUCGUGGCGAAGGCGGGUUCCUGGACAUUAACUGACGCUGAGGCACGAAGGCCAGGGGAGCGAAAGGGAUUAGAUACCCGAGUAGUC
rnacentral:rRNA from 1 species